GAAAUGCGAUAAGUAAUGUGAAUUGCAGAAUUCAGUGAAUCAUCGAAUCUUUGAACGCACAUUGCGCCCGCUAGUAUUCUGGCGGGCAUGCCUGUUCGAGCGUCAUUUCAACCAUCAAGCCCUAGGCUUGUGUUGGGGGCCUGCAGCCGCUGCAGCCCACUAAAAGCAGUGGCGGGCUCGCUGUCAUUCCGAGCGCAGUAGUUACAUCUCGCUCUGGGCGUGGCAGCUGGCACUUGCCGUAAAACACUCUUUCUAAGGUUGACCUCGGAUCAGGUAGGAAUACCCGCUGAACUUAAGC
rnacentral:misc_RNA from 1 species